CCUGCACAGUAGCAACCUGCCGCAUCCACAGCACACUAGCAAAACAUUGCUCUGCAAACAACUAUAAACACGGGUGUCCUCCGUGUAAUCAGGCACACACAAGCACCCAACGGCCAGCAUACACACGAUCGCCGGCAGCAAAAUGCAAGGGAACCGGCCAGCCGGCGUGCUCCUCCUCGCCGCCGCCAUUCUCCUCCUGGCAUUUGACGCUCCAGCCUCCGCCGCCGCCUCGUACAGCAGGUUGGCCGUCACCAACCACGCCACAGCAGGGGCGAGGGCUACCGCUCAUCUCGACGCAGCGGCGUUCGCCAGGCGCAUGGAGGACGAGGUGGCGCCGGAGAUGAUGACUUGGGCGGCCAGCCUCGCAGGCGGCGGUGGCAUCAGCCCCCCACUCAACGCGAACAAGCAGGCGUGCGGGGGCUCUUGCGCUGGCAAAGGUCGAAAUCAGCCCUACACCCGAGACUGCAAAAUGGUUUACGGAUGCGGUGGAGGUAGCUACCACGAUCUGAUGUACAGUAGUACAUGCAACUGCUCGGGCUCUGAAUAAACGCAAGCAUCCAAUCCAAUCAA